UACAAACUGGAAGCACAACCUAUGAUAUAUAUUGGUGUAGACAAUUGUGAGAUUUAGUGUCCAGGUUUAUGUUUCGAGCAGUUUUAGUUUGAUAGUGUCCCAGUUUAUGUUUCCGGUUGAUUUAUAUAUGGAGUAUGUAUCUGCAAACUUGAGAGGUACUAUUUGGUAGAAAAAUGGAUAGCUUUUGUUUUGCAAACUUGACAGGUACCUAUUUUUUGUUUUUAGCUACUUUUUAUGUACAAACUAUUGAAUUAUGUUUUUGUUCAAGUGAUAGAGUUCCUGGCAGUGUGAGAUCAUCAUGCAUAUGGAACGGACAGUCCCAUUCGCAGUAGUAUAUUGCAGAAAAGGCAUUAAUUCUUGUUGUGGUUGUGUUCUACAUUCGCAGUAGUAUAUUGAUCAUAUCUAAUAUUAGAAGUGAUUCAUUAUUAUGCAUGUAUGGUGUUGAUUUGUAUCAUUGCUCUCUUGUCUACCUAGAUGGGAAAAGAAUCAACGGUUUGGAUUGAGGUCGGAUGGCAUAUCAAAUGAUGGGAUGGAGAUGGAUGAUGAUCCACAAGAAGAAUAUUAUGGUCAUGAUGUACACAAGAAUAUUUUAGUACUGGGAAUGUUUUGAUGUGUUAAGCUAUUUUUUGUUGCUACUUCAUGUCAAUAUUAAAUGUGUUUUGCUAUCAAUGUAAACAUUGUAAAUGUUUAUGUUUUAAGAUGCUUUUGUGCUUGCAUGCUUCUUGAUGCCAAAUUAUAGUAUAAGAAGUCAAUUUU
rnacentral:lncRNA from 1 species